UGGCUCAGAAGGUAAAGAGUCUGCCUGCAAUGCAGAAGACCCAGGUUCGAUUCCUAG
rnacentral:tRNA from 1 species